GACGAACGCUGGCGGCGUGCUUAACACAUGCAAGUCGAGCGGUAAGGCCCUUUCGGGGGUACACGAGCGGCGAACGGGUGAGUAACACGUGGGUGACCUGCCCUCAGCUCUGGGAUAAGCCUGGGAAACCGGGUCUAAUACUGGAUAUGACUCCAUGACGCAUGUUGUGGGGUGGAAAGCCUUGUGCGGCUGAGGAUGGGCCCGCGGCCUAUCAGCUUGUUGGNGGGGUGAGGCCUACCAAGGCGACGACGGGUAGCCGGCCUGAGAGGGCGACCGGCCACACUGGGACUGAGACACGGCCCAGACUCCUACGGGAGGCAGCAGUGGGGAAUCUUGCGCAAUGGGCGAAAGCCUGACGCAGCGACGCCGCGUGAGGGAUGACGGCCU
rnacentral:rRNA from 1 species